rnacentral:tRNA from 1 species
CGGGGUGUAGCGCAGUCCGGUUAGCGCACUUGGUUUGGGACCAAGGGGUCGCAGGUUCGAAUCCUGUCUCCCCGA